AGGAUGCUUUUGGGCAGCCACCGGUCUAAGUUCCUUGGAACAGGACGUCAUAGAGGGUGAGAAUCCCGUAUGUGACUGGACAGGCACCCUUUGUAAAGCUCCUUCGACGAGUCGAGUUGUUUGGGAAUGCAGCUCUAAAUGGGAGGUAAAUUUCUUCUAAAGCUAAAUACCGGCCAGAGACCGAUAGCGCACAAGUAGAGUGAUCGAAAGAUGAAAAGCACUUUGGAAAGAGAGUUAAAAAGCACGUGAAAUUGUUGAAAGGGAAGGGCUUGCAAUUAGACUUGCCCGCAGUUGUUCAGCUGGUCUUCUGACCGGUUUAUUCUUCUGCGGGCAGGCCAGCAUCAGUUUCGGCGGCCGGAUAAAGGCUCUGGGAAUGUGGCUGUCCUUCGGGGCAGUGUUAUAGCCCAGGGUGUAAUACGGCCAGCCGGGACUGAGGUCCGCGCUUCGGCUAGGAUGCUGG
rnacentral:rRNA from 1 species